AAGAUUUCAUCAGUUCAUUACUUCACUGAGAGCUAUGCUAGCUCUCUCAUUUCUUACACUCUUUUCUACAGUGGCUUUCCACACAGAUUUGAAGCAAAA